rnacentral:ncRNA from 1 species
UUGAGCCGUACGAGAUGAAAUUUUCAUAUACGGUUCUCGGGGGGGGUCUCCUUGGUUUACCUAUCUCAAU